rnacentral:lncRNA from 1 species
UGAGCGGGGGAAGGGGCCGUCGCGCCCGCGGUGGCGUCUGUGGGAGCGCGCGCGGCGGGGCGGUGUGUGGCGGCAGCUGGAGCCGUGACGGACGGGGAAGAGUGAGGAGGAAGACUUGCCAGGCAAGAUCCCAAACCAGUCUGACCUUCGUUUUUCCGGUGAGCCGAUUCUGAAACUCCGAGUAGAGGACUCCUAGCCUGAGCUGCUUGGUGCAAGGAGUUUGAGAAUGCAGCAAGCCUGAUAGUGAGGACAGAAGAAUCUCCUUAAAGAAGUCUCA